CGCAGGCCUGCGAGACACAGCCACCCUGAGAAUCAGCACCGCACACGGGAGCACACGUUACCCACAAUCCCACAGCACACGGGCCUGAACGGGGUCACUGUGAUGUGCACAUGACUUCCUGCAGGGGAAGGAUACAGGCUGGACAGCUGGUACAUGACCUGGGCACAGUUUCUCAGGAUGGCAUGCAGCUUAAUGAAGCAGUCCAGCGACUCCUCCAGCCGGCCCAGUCUCUUAUAAGUGAGGCCUGAGGUCAGUGUGGACACGCAUCAGCAACAGACAUCAAGAACAUCAUGUUCAAUUCAUUAACAAAUGAACGCCAUUAAAUUACAUUACAUUCA